AAGCAUUAAACAUUUCGAGCAGUAAAAAGGCAAUAUAAAGUCUAGUAUUUAAGCAAAAUUGUGUUUAUUUAACAGUCAACAAAAGGGGUUCCCAUCAAUUUGUUUCAAAAUGUCAACAGAAUUUGUGGAACAGUCAAAAAUGAAUUCAUAUCAAAAUGUCAAAAUCAGCCAUUUCUUGUAUAGAUUAAAUUAUGACACUAAGAUAUCUAUGGACUCCAAAUCAGCCAAGUUGUAAGGACAAAAUCUAGAGGUAAAUUAUGCGCUAUGAUGCUUAUUAUACAAUUAUAUAUAAAGAUGAUUAAUUUCAGAGUAAAACUCCAAUAGCAAGGUUAACAGGUCUGUUUUGAUUUUGAGUUAUUCUCAUCAGACUAUCAGAGUAAUUACAAAUUUUGUUAAUAAAUGUUUCUAUCAAAUUUAACGAAAUUCCCGAUAUAGCCACAUAAUUAAACUAAUCACCAUCAAAUUUAAUGAAACUUCAAAUUUAUUUAAAAGUAAACAAAAGAAGUUUCAGUAAAGACAAGUUCAGGGGUGCUCAAAAUGGGUUUAAGUAUUUGAUUCAGGAAUGGAGAAAUAUUUUAAAAAGUAAUGAGACCAAAUCAGAUUCGUUAACAUUUUGGUUAAUUGCACAAUUAAUUGCACAACUGUGUAGAGAUCCCAACAAAAAUUGAUAAAAAUUACUUAAAAUAAGAACCAAAUUAGACUAAAAGCAAUCCAUGAAUAUAUAUAUAGUAUAAUUAAUUGCUAAUUAGGUGACAUUCACUGAUUCACACGAACAUAUUCUUGCAAAAAAAAAAACAAAUAAAGGAUGAAAGCUUACCAAAACAGCAGUGAGAAAGAGAUAUUACAAAGAUCGACAAACGAUUCCUCCGAACAAGCGAUCGCGUGCGAGGUCAAGAGGGAUUGCGUCGACGAAUGAUCCUUCCCAAUGUGGCCAUCGUGUGCGAGGUCGAGAGGAUGCGGACAAGUUCGAAAACCCUAGAAAAGCUGUAGAAGAGAAAAACCCUAGAAGUAGUCGGAGGAGACGGAGUGGGAGAGGGCGAUCGGGUGGAGCGGGAGAGAGGCUUUUGGGUCUGUGCGUAGN
rnacentral:lncRNA from 1 species